GACGGCGGACGCAAGAGUUAUCCGGAAUCACUGGGCGUAAAGCGUCUGUAGGCGGUGAUGCAAGUCACUGGUGCAAAACUCUGGCUCAACCGGAGGAAAGCCAGUGAAACUGCAUGACUAGAGUGUGGGAGAGGUAGAAGGAAUUCCCUGAGUAGCGGUGAAAUGCGUAGAUACAGGGAAGAACACCGGAGGCGAAAGCGUUCUACUGGAACACAACUGACACUGAGAGACGAAAGCUAGGGGAGCGAAUGGG
rnacentral:rRNA from 1 species